rnacentral:rRNA from 1 species
AAGCACCGGCUAACUCCGUGCCAGCAGCCGCGGUAAUACGGAGGGUGCGAGCGUUAAUCGGAAUUACUGGGCGUAAAGGGUGCGUAGGUGGUUGAUUAAGUUAUCUGUGAAAUUCCUGGGCUUAACCUGGGACGGUCAGAUAAUACUGGUUGACUCGAGUAUGGGAGAGGGUAGUGGAAUUUCCGGUGUAGCGGUGAAAUGCGUAGAGAUCGGAAGGAACACCAGUGGCGAAGGCGGCUACCUGGCCUAAUACUGACACUGAGGCACGAAAGCGUGGGGAGCAAACAGGAUUAGAUACCCUGGUAGUCCACGCUGUAAACGAUGUCAAC